UCUGUUCAGAAGUUACAUGCCUCCCAGUCCCACAUUCGCCUGGACUUCACUGUAAGAUGACGAUAGCUUGCUGGUGGUAUUAUCUGCAAGCGAAACUGCUUUGGAACCCGCGCAAAUUAGCAAUUGUUUGUUAGUACUUUUUUAAAAGUUAGCAAUCGUUAAAUGCAAAAAUAUUUAAACACCGUUGUCUAUUA